rnacentral:rRNA from 1 species
GACGAACGCUGGCGGCGUGCUUAACACAUGCAAGUCGAACGGAAAGGCCCUGCUUUUGUGGGGUGCUCGAGUGGCGAACGGGUGAGUAACACGUGAGUAACCUGCCCUUGACUUUGGGAUAACUUCAGGAAACUGGGGCUAAUACCGGAUAGGAGCUCCUGCUGCAUGGUGGGGGUUGGAAAGUUUCGGCGGUUGGGGAUGGACUCGCGGCUUAUCAGCUUGUUGGUGGGGUAGUGGCUUACCAAGGCUUUGACGGGUAGCCGGCCUGAGAGGGUGAACGGCCACAUUGGGACUGCGAUACGGCCCAGACUCCUACGGGGGGCAGCAGUGGGGAAUAUUGCACAAUGGGCGGAAGCCUGAUGCAGAAACGCCGCGUGCGGGAUGACGGCCUUCGGGUUGUAAACCGCUUUCGCCUGUGACGAAGCGUGAGUGACGGUAAUGGGUAAAGAAGCACCGGCUAACUACGUG